GUACACGCUGUGACUAGCAUAUCAAUAAGCGGAGGAAAAGAAACUAACAAGGAUUCCCCUAGUAACGGCGAGUGAAGCGGGAAGAGCUCAAAUUUGAAAUCUUAAAGGGUUUCCCUUUACGAAUUGUAGUUUAAAGAAGUGUUUUCUGUUGAGGUUUUGGUAAAAGUUCUUUGGAAUAGGACAUCAUAGAGGGUGAGAAUCCCGUAUUUGACCUUUACUUUCAACUUUGUGAUACACUUUCAAAGAGUCGGAUUGUUUGGGAAUGCAGUCCAAAAUGGGUGGUAAAUUUCAUCUAAAGCUUAAUAUUGGCGAGAGACCGAUAGCGAACAAGUACCGUGAGGGAAAGAUGAAAAGAACUUUGAAAAGAGAGUUAAACAGUACGUGAAAUUGUCAAAAGGGAAGCGUUUGACACCAGUGUUGUUUUUCUGAAAAUCAAUUAAAGAACUGUUUAUGCUAAGCUGUUUAGACUUUAUCAGCUAAUCUGUUUAGUUUUGAGCUUUUCUUUAAUGCACUUUUCAGUUAACAAGUCAACAUCAAUUUCUUUUGCUGAUAAAAAAGCUUGAGGAAGGUGGCUUGAGAUUCGUCUUAAGUGUUUAUAGCCUCUUGCCUAUGCAGUCGGAGAGAUUGAGGUCUGCAGCGUAGAUCCUUCGGGGCUAAAUGCAUUUGUGCUAAGUUAUAGCAUUUUAUAGACAACUUGUUGACUAUGAUUUGUCUUGUAGCUUACUCGCUUAUGUUAUUUUACCUACGCUUAGGAUGUUGACGCGCGUGUGUGCGUG
rnacentral:rRNA from 1 species